GCUGGUCUUCCUUGCCUUUGGAUCCCUCUGCCUGUCCUGUGCUUUUGUCUUUGGCCUAAGGGGACACAUCUCUAGGGAACCUGAAGAUCUGAUGACUAGCCCCCUCUGUUGAAGCUGCUGGAGAGGGCAUAACACUCCAGCUCGGCCCCCAACCUCACCUGACAGCUGACGCCUCUUGCUAAAAACAGCCGGCCCUGGGGGAAUAUGGGCUUUCAAGCCUCCCCGCCCCCCAUGCUCAGGCAGGUAUUAAAAAGGCCAAAACCGGGGCAGGCGGGUUGGACACCAUGCUAUUCACCGAGACUGCCCACUUCGUGGUGAAUUUUCUUCUGUCCCGGCGGCCCCGGGCCACGCCCCCGCACCGCCUGGACCAGGAUCUGUGUUUCUGGGGCAGCCGGGGCCCGACCUUGCCGGAGCCGGCCGCCCGCCGCAGCCUGGGCGACUACUGGCUGAGCCCGCAGCGCCAUCGUCCGCCGGGCGCUGCCUGGCACUGGCCCGCGCGAAACCUGAUGCUGCUGCCGGGGGCCACGGGUCUGGCGGACGUGCCGUCGGCUCGCUGGCCCAGCUGCUACGGCGCGCGCCCGCGCCUCACGUGGAAAUACCGUUGGCAGAACAUUAACUACCAGUUCUUGGGCAAGAGGAAGAGACACCUAGUUCCCCUGCGUCCGUGAGAACUGGGAUUUGGGGACACAGGCUUCAGGCUUUUCACAUGAUGAUCCCAAAGCAGACUUGUGCAGGUUGAGCAGAAAGCUGGCCUGGGACUGGCAGUACUGCGUGAUCCACUGUCCCCUCUCCAUGGAUGAAGAAUAUCUACCUUUCCUCUCCUUCCUGGAGUCUCUGAGUUCCUGUCCUUCAUGCCCCCAAUAAAACACCUUCUGUCUCU
rnacentral:lncRNA from 1 species